rnacentral:rRNA from 1 species
AUCAGCCACACUGGGACUGAGACACGGCCCAGACUCUACGGGAGGCAGCAGUGGGGAAUAUUGCACAAUGGGCGCAAGCCUGAUGCAGCCAUGCCGCGUGAGUGAUGAAGGCCUUAGGGUUGUAAAAUUCUUUCGCCAGGGAUGAUAAUGACAGUACCUGGUAAAGAA